AGCCCCUUAGUCUAGCGGUCAAGGACGAUGCCCUCUGGAGGCGUAAACCCAGGUUCGAAUCCUGGAGGGGCUA
rnacentral:tRNA from 1 species